UACGUAGGUGGCAAGCGUUGUCCGGAUUUACUGGGCGUAAAGAGCGCGCAGGCGGUCGUUCAAGUCGCGUGUGAAAGCCCCCGGCUCAACUGGGGAGGGUCACGCGAUACUGAUCGACUCGAAGGCAGGAGAGGGAAGUGGAAUUCCCGGUGUAGUGGUGAAAUGCGUAGAUAUCGGGAGGAACACCAGUGGCGAAGGCGACUUCCUGGCCUGUUCUUGACGCUGACGGCGUCGAAGCUAGGGGAGCAAACGGG
rnacentral:rRNA from 1 species